rnacentral:tRNA from 1 species
UGGGAUGUGGCUCGUCAGAGCACUUGCCUCGUAUGCAGGAGGCCCUAGGUUCAAUCCCAGAAUCCCAG